CUUUUUUCCUCUUUCUUUUCGGGUGGGGUGCUGGCUGCUGGCGGCUGGCGAGGAGGAGGGUGGAAGGGGCUAGGGGUUGGAGGGACCUAGGGUAGCGGCCACUGGCGGACUGGAGGCGGCGGCGUGCGGACCGAAGAGGAGGAAGGCAGAGGAACGGGCACAGGUCGCACGUGGCGGCCGGGAGGGUACCGCGAUAGCGGCGCCGGUGGGUGAAGAGGAUGGAGGGGUGCCGCUCCACACGGAGGUGGCGGCGGCACUGGGCUCGGCACGUAGAGGCCGCACUGUGGAGGGGUGGUGGCGACGAUGGGGUAGGGCGGGGAUGGGGGAGGAGGCAGCGGCGGACGGCCCGCCUGGAGCUAAAGGGAUGUCCUCCUUCCCCAAGAGCGGCCGAUGCACCCUCUUCCGGUCCCUCUGCGCGCCCAGUACGCCCGCGGCCACAACGCAUCGUCAUCCCGCGGCGGUAGCUUAAAAAGUUCCUCUACGCCGGGGAAGGGGUAGGUUGACGCUGGUACCGCGACAGGUUGGAGCAGACACGCGCAUCAGGUAGGAACAAGUGAUCGAGCGGUCGUCUUCACUCUGGGGGGACGGGGGGGACGGAGGAAGAGGUGGAGUACACGAGGAAGUCCUGCGCCGUGACUAUCGUUUACAGUGCCGCAUGCAGGUCAAGUGAGUUCCCCCGAGAGAGACGAAGAGGCAACAGGAAUUACCUGGUGACUGGGUUUGGGUCGCGCGAAGACCUACAACGGAGCCCCUUCUCGUUCAAGGUUUACACUUUAAACCAUUAAGUCCACCGGCCCUAAGCACGAACACACGCCGCCCGACCGUCAACUUAGACGAGGUCGUUAAGUCAAUAAAAGUUAAAAAGGUACACGUCGUCGUGUACUUAUACUCACAUACCUUUUACACAUACAUCUGUAACUCUUUCAAGUCAUAACAAAGAAGAUCGAACGAGUACGUCGAUACGUCUAGUAAAGAAAAGUCCGGUAGGGGCAGGUCGGCAGGACACCAUCCUUCCAGCUCGGGUAGCGUUCGACAUCAAGUGCGAAGGGAAAGUCGGCAACUUCGAUGUCUACCUCGGGCGUUACGUUGUCGCAGUGGGGUUGCCGGUACCCUGCCAGCUGCUACCGACCCACACCACACGCAGAGAGCCUGCACGAGCCGCACGACGGCUCCCCCGACGUCAAACUUCACCGACCCAUUACUUCAAGUCUCUUACGAAAAAAUCAUGUAAGUCUCUUCAACGAAAGAACAAAAAACACUAUAAAACCGAUGCGUUUAUGAAUCACGUCUCUCCAACACUGGAAACCGAGGAGAGUAGGACUUGUGAACGUGGUGUUGGAGUAGAGUACCCAUUUUACUGAUAAUCAUUUAACCGUGAUUUUUACUUAUGUCUUAUUCAUCUUUCUGUUCUACUGGAGUAGAGUGAACAAGGUAGAGUUAUAUCGAGUUCGAAAAAUCUUUGAUGUAAACUGUGUUUCGUAAUUUAACUAUAUCAACACGAUCGAAGACUUCAUUAAAAUAGUGAAAACGUCCAAACGGUUAAAUAAACAUUUACGAAACAAAAGGUGAUUAAAUAAAGCUUUACGAAAAAAAGGUAUUGUUAAUAAAACCGUAAUCGUUUUGUCUUCAAAACAGACCACCGCUCUCUGGUACGUCCAACAAAGCAAUGACCUUUUUACGGACUUCGUACUUGCGCAUAAACCAGGCACCGCAGCACGAAGCGCAGCCGCUGGUGGCCCCGAGGAACCAGGUACUUGUCCAAACGAGUCACCGUGCGUGUUCGGCUCCUUCGACGUCAGCACGGACCUAUUUCAAGUCAACAGCGACUUCGAAGACAACAAGAGGUAGCGCGCGGACAUCUCACAGGUACGUCCAGCUCAUUUUAAGAGUACCUUCAAGUUUAUUUUUUUCGUCGAUGUCACGUUGGCAGCCACCGAUAUUACGCACCACUUUUGACUUUAGACUUUGCUCACAACAACCUAUAUCAUCCGUCGUCUAAAAGACUCCAAACAACCACUUGCGUUGUUGUCAUCAAACACGGUAACCCCGGCACGCCGUUCGUCUUUAGAUGUGGACCUACAUGAGAGAGACAGAGAGGACUUUAAGAUCCCGAUUAGAUCAACAUUAAGAUAGAGUAGAUAAACAUAAAAGAUAGAGUGUAUGGACUUGUAUCAUCGUCUGAUCGUCACAACAUACCAGCCAGAUACACUCCCUCAAACACACUUGCACCACAAAUGAAAAGAAAUCCUUCGGUAAAAAAUUAUUACUUGAUAUAGGGCGGGCGGGUGAAUAUAAGAAGAAGUCAUGUUCUCUACUUCAAGUAAAUAUGCACAUAUAUACAUCUGCAUCACAUGUAAGAUAAACGUCAGACCUUCAGGUCUUUUUUUUUCUUGGGAUUCAAGUUUUCGCUUAUUUUGUAAUUUUUUUUUAUCUGCUACUCGAAGAGUAGGGAUAACGUUAGACGUUCGACGGAGGUUGGAAACCGUCAUAAACAUUUUUACUAACACGUAUAAAAAACAAUGGGGUAAAAAUCAAUGACUAACUUCUUUUAAAACAAGUAGUCCACUUUCUUGAACUAAAGAAAACAAGGAAAUACCUCCUUCUUCCAGUGGUGUCUCCAUCCCUCUUCCAGUGGUAUUUCAGUCCCUCUUCCAGUGUAUUCCACGUCUUUCUUACAGUCUCAAGUUGUUACCCCACACACUAGAAACACAACAAAAACCCCACGUUUAGUACCCAUACACUAAAGUGUAGGACACAUGAUAACUAUACCGAAGAGAAUCGGAACUUGGUAAACGGAUGUUUAUACUAUCAGCGUUACGAAGGCAGUACACAUUUCUUUUAAUCUAUACAUGUACAUGUGUUGGAUGUUGUUGAAAUGCCCCUCAACUACCUAAUAAGUCACCAACAACGACGGUGAUGACUAAAAAAGAACUCUGCCAGAAGUAGUGGUUAGUUAUUAAGUGAACAAAGAACCAACGUAGAUCAAGGGAGCGAGGUGGAGCUGUGGCUAAGGAAAUCGAUC
rnacentral:rRNA from 1 species